rnacentral:rRNA from 1 species
AUUGAACGCUGGCGGCAUGCCUUACACAUGCAAGUCGAACGCGAAAGGGGGCGAACUCCUGAGUAGAGUGGCGAACGGGUGAGUAAUACAUCGGAACAUUUCCUGUAGUGGGGAGUAACUUCGAGAAAUCGAAGCUAAUACCGCGUACGUCCUAUGGGAGAAAGCAGGGGAUCGCAAGGCCUUGCGCUAUAGGAGUGGCCGAUGUCGGAUUAGCUAGUUGGCGGGGUAAAAGCCCCACCAAGGCGACGAUCCGUAGCUGGUCUGAGAGGAUGAUCAGCCACACUGGGACUGAGACACGGCCCAGACUCCUACGGGAGGGCAGCAGUGGGGAAUUUUUGGACAAUGGGCGCAAGCCUGAUCCAGCCAUGCCGCGUGAGUGAAGAAGGCCUCGGUGUAAG